UCAUAACAAAAGUUACUUUCGUAAAAACCCAGGACUAUUGCACAAUACUAUAGUAGCAUCAGUGAGCUCUAGGCAGUCGUUCGGCCUAUGAGAAAAGUUAAGCCAAGAUGGCGGCCAUUGACGUCCAAUAGCUACGAAGGUCGUAAACAGCUUUUAUACCAUUUCCCAGCUAAUUCCAUUUUUUCUAACGAACUGUAUCGUCAAACAAGUUAUCAAUUCAUAAAACCAUGGUGGUAUUCUUUAAAUCGACGACAAAAUACGAAAUUUCGGCAAACGUCUUGCCAGCUUCGUGUUAACCGCGCAAACAAAACCUCUAGAAAUGAACUAGUACCGACGUUCAAUCAGUUCACUGCGUUCAAUAGCUCUUCAAUUUCCGCCAUCUUGGCUUCACUUUUUGGACUCGAGUUCUCGCUCCAGUAAUAUAUCGAGCUCACUGAGUAAUAUUUGCACAUUAUAACAGCAAUUGCACAGUCUUUCAAUAGAUAAAUAUGUAUUCGUAUAACAAGUAUUCUUACAUAGGCGUACGAGACAGGGGGCUGAAAGGGGGGACUGCAGUCUGCAGCCCCCCCCUGCAUGUGUGCUUAUAGUCGAGUAGAUUGUACUUAAAAAUCGGGCAAUAUGCUAGGCCUGCCUGCC